rnacentral:lncRNA from 1 species
CACCGGAUUGAAAACAUCCUCCUGUGGAGGUUCUACUCUGGCUUAGAAAACUCAUCCUUAUACUUCACAGCCCAGCCGUCAAGACGUUGGGGGUGGGAAUGCUUGGGUCUACCCAGUCCGGAAAUGCUGAUGGUGAACGGACGUACAGACACGGAUGGACAUGCACAAGCAUGCGCACCUCCUGGACGCUGCAGCUUCAACCCAAAGGCAACCUCCACCCUGUUCCAGCAUCUUGUAUCCUCCUGCAACGUGGUGUUUUUGUUUGUUUGUUUGUUUGUUUGUUUUUACUUUUGAUUUCUUACUGCAAAACAAUUGUCACCCAGCUGGUCAAACCCCGGGGUCACGUCUAUAACCCGGCUCUCCUUGCCAUCCCAUGAAUCAUCAAACGCCGCAGAUUUUCCUUCCUGUUAGUGUCCAAAAUCAUUUGCUGGUUUCCAUUUGCUUGGUUGAUACUUUGUUCUAGGUCCCUCUCAUUUUAGGUCUGAGAUGUUGCAGUUGCUGCCUGGCUGAGCUCCUGGUCUUCAGACGUGCUCCGUUCUAAAGGUGGAUUUGCCCUUUUACUGAACGAUCCUCAACUCCAGGCUACCUUGCUUGCAACCUACCCGUUGCAAAUGUUUGCACUUGAUUUUAUAUUUGCAGCUUUACAUUUUCAGUCUGCUCCAAAUCCUCUCCAUUUUGUAUUCAGUUGCCAGGGUAAUCUUCAAGAAAAAAAAAUGACUUUUUCUUUUGGGGGCAGUCUGAGUUUACAACAAAACAGAAAAGAAAAUACAGGCUUUCUGUGUCAGUCCUACCCUACUACCUCAUAAAACCUUCACACUCUUGGCUCUCAAUCCUGGAGGAGUACAUUUGUUAAACUAAUUGACCUAUAGUGAGCAAAGUGCCACUAUCAACAUAAGUUCUUCAUUAGAUAAAGAUGAAUUUGGGGGAUUAAAGUGGCAGGAGGUGUGAUCAAAGUACAUUAUAUUUGCAUGAAAAUUGCCUUAAAUCAUGUAAGUUAAAAGUAUUCUUAAAAUGCUAAUCCUUGAAAAAUGUAUUGCUGGCCUGGAGAGAUGGCUCAGUGGUUAAGAGCACUGAUUGCUCUUCCGAAGGUCCUGAGUUCAAAUCCCAGCAACCACAUGGAAAAAUGUAUUGCUCUAUCGUGUCACUUUCUACUUUAAAACUUGCAGUUGGUUAGUUGGGUGGAGAUGGCUCGUGUCUUUUAAUCUCAGCACUCGGGAGGCAGGCAAAACUCUGUGAGUUCGAGGCCAUCCUGGUCUAAAGAGUGAGUUCUGGGACAGCCAGGGCUACACAGAAAAGCCCUGUCUCAACCAUAGAAAAACAAACAAACCAUCCAGCUGCUCACUAAAGUACUUCCCGUUUCCCCAUCCUCAAUGUCCACGUUAGACCUCCGCUGCUCUCCUUGUUGUAUUUACUAACCUUAUUUCCCUAUAAUCAUUGGCCGAGAAGCAAGGAGCUCCACAGAAGGUGCUAGGUGCUAGCUGCUAGCUGCUAGCUGUUGACUCCCCAGGCAGUCCUGACUGCCACACUUACAUCUUUCCUCACCAUCUCCACAAACACUGUGAAUCUGCACAACAACAACAACAACAACAACAACAAAAGACGAGCCAAGACCUAAUAUGAAUGUGCAUCUGCUCCCGUCUGACUUUAUAAAUCUUACCCAGUUUAUGCCACCUGGUCAGCCUGUUCCUCCUGGCUAUAAUUCUGCCUGGCUCACAGCAGCUGUUUCUUGGAGGGAAAGGGGGAUAUUAACUAACCUGUGGUAUUAAAAAAAAUUAUAAAAUCUAAUAUAGGGUUGUCAAUUUUGUACUUUGACAAAUAAGAACUUUAAAAAAAAUAGCUACUCUCAUGUUGAUGCUAUUAAAGAAGAGUAAUUUUAUCUCUCCACGUGAAAAGUAUCAUCUCAGAAUGAUGGCCACUUGUUUAACUGCAGCACAGUUAGCGUUGGAAAACUGACUCUGUUUCCAGGAGCGUGUGGCUGUCUCAGGUAAUGAAAAGUGCUCAGACAGAGGGUGCAUUUGGGAGUUGGCGGCACUUUCUUCUUCCCCUCACCUGCUUACUACUUAAGCACUAGAGCCCGGGGGGUACAUUUUGCACUGUCAAGUCUUUAUUUAACUUCUUGUGCACACAUGUCGUUUCCUCAACUACAAGGUAAGCUUUAUAAGAAGCCGGUAAAAGGACUGCGCCUUUUACUCUCCUGGGAGGCCCAGCAGAUAGAAAAUGUUCCACAAGUAUUUGCUGAAUGAGUGAAUCAGCCCAGAGGAGGCUUUCUAAGCCUGUGGUAACCCAUAAAUCCCAUCUUAAUGGAGUAUGAGCGCCCAUCCCGGGGCGAUUUCUUUCAACAGAUUCCUCCGAAAAGAGUUAACCGGUACAAAUUGCUUUGCUUUUGAGUGAAACCAGAAAAAAAAAUUAAUAAUAAUAGUAAAUCCCAUAUGAAAAGUACACAGCUUCUUCCCCGAGGCAGUUACAAGCCUCAGCAGAGAGAGCAGAGAGACAAAUGCACCUUUUGUAGCUUGUCAUUUAGCUGAUCCCAGGUAUUUAGGGCUCUGUUGCUAGUCAUGUGCACAGUAUGUGCGCGCCUCUGGCUUAACUCGCUUGAUAGAAAACUUGGCUUUCCUUCUGAGACUCCCACCCAUGCACCUCUACAGUAUCCAUCUGUCUGCUUCCCUCCAUCUGUGGGAUUUACAAAAAUGAAGGGGGGGGGGGAAGGAAGGUGGGGGGGGGAAGGAAGGGAAGGUGGGGAAGGGAAGGUGGGGGCUGCCAGGCACAGCUUCUUUGCGGCCAAAUCUUGGUCUUGAAUCUGGAGUGGUUACAAGGCUGCACUGAAGAGUGUCUUUUGGAUUUAAAACCUACUGCUUUCACUCAGCAUCCAGAGUAAGCUCCCGAAAAUAUAGAUUAGGUGACACCACAUGGUGUGUAUAACAUCCGUUAACUUUCAUACAAUCUCACUUUAUCGCUGUUGAUUGAAAACCUACUGAGUGCUGGACCCUGCUGAUCCAAAAAAUUUUUUUUCUUUCUUUCUCUCUCUCUUUCUUUCUUUCUUUCUUUCUUUCUUUCUUUCUUUCUUUCUUUCUUUCUUGAAUGACUUAGGCACUAGAACAACUCAAAGGAAUAUAAUAAAGUACAAAUUAUUACUAUAAUAGAAGGCAACAGGUGUGAUGGAAAACAGUUGGACAAAGGAGAUGUAGCAAACAGUCUGGUUGGAAUGCACCGGUUAAGCCUCCCUAGAGCUCAGACUCAGAGGAGGUGGAGAGCGAGCCAUCGAGCCUAGGAGGCUAAGUGGAGAAGGAAGUCUCUUGGGGCCACAGGAGUUCAGCUAUGUCCUUUGUCUGCUUUCACAUGCAUGCCCUCCCUCCUGCUCCCCAGCUAGCCCUGCCGUCCCUUUCCCACCUUGAAACUUCACACAAACCACCAGCAGCUCAGUAGCCCCCUUUUCCUGGCUUUGACGAACAGCAUUCAUCUAUCUCUUGGGUGACCAUAUAAACGUCACCUCUUUGGGUGGGCUCUCUUUGUCCCCUAUUGUGACUUAGAAAGCCUCCCACAGUUAUUUUUGUCACCCUCCCUUCCGACACUCAAUAAACACUGUUUGAAUGAUGGAACCUAGAGGUUCAAGUAGGAUGCUCUUUUUGAAGACAGCAUCCUCGUGAAUGCUCUGAGACUGAACGCAGUGCUGGGGGUUUGCACGUGAAUUGUCCUCCUCAGGUGCACAAGUUUGAACACUUUGGCUUUAGCUGGGAAAGACUUAAGUCCAGCUUAGUUGGAAGAAGUGGGCCACUGGGAACUGGCCUUGAGAUGUCUUAGCCUGGCCCGCUCUUGUCCUUUCUCCUUCCCAACCGCAGGCUCAGUGUGACCUGUCACCUCAUGCAUGGGCCACCAAGCCUUCCCUCAACUUCAAGCCCAAGCAAUCUUUCCUAUCUUUACCUUGUCAGGCAAGGCAACAAGGAAAAUGACACAGGGGUGGAUGGAAAAACCAAGUAAUAGUUUGAGUUUAAGUACAGUAAUCUUGAUAUACAAGAUUAAAGGUAGGCUAUAAAGCAGCGGCCCUCAAAUUCCCUAAUGCUACGACCCUUUAAUACAGUUUCUCAUGUUGUAACAACCCCAACCAUAUUUUUGUUGCUGCUUCAUAAUUGUGAUUUUGCUACUGUUAUUAAGCAUAAUGUAAAUAUCUGAUAUGCAAGAUAUCCGAUAUGCAACCCCAAAGGGGUCGCCACCCACAAGUUGAGAACCUCUGCUGUAAAGCAUUAAACUGUGUUGUGGUGAACAUAUUUUUCUCUCUGCUUCAGCUUUUCUUCAGAACAGAACCAUUCCUCUGAGUGAAGCAAGCUUCGGGUCAUCCCUUAGCCCAGAUGCGUCCUUGCCCGUCCAACUUCAUGGGAAUCCCGGCUUCCUCUGCAGGAAAACCCUCUCUGACAUGACGACAAUGCUGCAGUCUUCUUUUAUCUUAGAACAGCAUGCCUUUCUACUUAUUCUGUGCCUCAAAUUAAUUUAAAA